GUUCAGCGGCCAACGAUAUCCAGGUCCAGGCACAGCAGUCAGGGUAACGGCAGUCAGCAGGGUCCCAAUCCGGUCCAGAGGUCAAUAGCCAAGCGUAGUCGUCUAGAAAUCCAAAGGUCUCACCGAUAGCCAGCAGAAGGGAUAAUCCGGAAUUGAAGUCAGUCAGUCCAGCGUCAAUCCAGUGUGAGUAGAUAUUGCCCGUCAAAAAGACGACGGAGGUCCAAGCUAUCGAGAUUAAACACAAGUUGCACAGAGAAAAACCUCGCACAGUUCCUCCCGCCGUCGAUGCCCAGUGUCCUUGGUAAACUUACGUAUCCAGUAACGAAUCACACCCGUCUUCAGGAAGUUCCCCAACAAAAGCCCAAGCGUCCGUCCAGAUUACCUUGCCCAACGCAAUUAGACAUUGAUCCUGCAACCCGCCAAUCACCUCCCAUGCUUUCAUUGCCUGUUUCCCCAACACCCAAAUCCUCCCUCACACGAGUCCAUUCCAUGUCGUCCUCCUCCGAACUGGCCAUCUCUUCCUCCAAACCCUCAGAAAAACCCUCAAAUGAGUCCUCAUCUGUCGGGUCUGUAAACAAAUCCCGGAGCCGUUUUCUUUCACGCUCCUCGAAAGAGUCUGACUCUCGAGGAGUCUUAUGACCCCUUCUUCUAUUACCGGAGCCCGAAGGCUCAACCAUAACAAUUACUACUAAGUAAUAUUGUUCCCCGUGGUGGCGGUGGUUCUAAUGCAAUGCAAAUGCUUUCCCAAGGAAAUAAAUACAGAAGAUUAAGAGACAUUCUGUACAUGACGAUUUUGCAUAUUUCCUUCUAUUGUUGGUGUUGAUCUCUUAACCACAGUCUGCAGAGAGCCGGUGUUAUUUUUGUCUCAUCCCAUGGCAACCUUGAAAACUACACAAAGCCACUUAGAAGGUCAAUGCUGGGUAAUGGGAAGAGAUAGCACAUUUCAUUUAGUAACUACUGCAAGUUCUACUCCCUUUCUGCUACGAUUAACGUACUCAUGCAUGGGAGUGGAGAGACGGCACUUGCCAAUAAUGGGUCUGCACAAGAAGCAGCAACUUGACGUUGUAAAGAUAAAAUAGUGCCUAUUGGACUUGCCAUUAAAUCUCUACUCUCCCCUCCCAGCACCUUCCACUCUAAAUGUUUCACUUGUCAUCAAAGCUCAGACAGAUUUUAAAUUAUGUGUAGGGUGAUUUUUUAAAGGAUCAUAUCAUGUUAAGUGUUUCAAAGAGUGUAUCAUAAUCUCUUUAUUAGUCUUGUGGGGGAAGCUCGAACACAGGCUCCAUAUUGAAACUCUCUGCCACAGGAUGAAUUGCUGAACCUUUAAAAAUAUGCUCUAAAAGAGAGAUUGUGGGUGGGGGAGAAUGAUGAGCAAAAGCAAGCUCAAGCAAAAGUGCCAACAGGAGUGAUCCUCUUUUAUUGCCAUAUAAAACUCGGUAGUGUCGGAUGUCCUCACUGACUCACUGAUGGAUCUCCCCAAAGAAAUAAAACAAUCUUUAGUUGACAUUCUUAGUGUCUCUUUCUGCUUCCUUUGAGAUGAACAUUAUGAUUUGCAUCAUGAAAAAGGCACAUAAUGGUUAAGAAAAGUCUCAACUGUGGAGGAACAUAAUACACAACAGGCUAGGAUGACUUUUCUCUUCAUCUAAAAAACAAAAGGGAGUAUUGUGUCCCAAUGACAGUGAAUGGCUUCCAUGUCAGGGGAGCAAUAUAUCCACAUUGGGGAUUCUUCAGACUUUAAAAGAUCUGUCCAAAGUUCUGAGUCUUUUUAAGUGGUUCAGAUUCAGCACCUUGGAUAGUUCAUUUCAAGACUGUAAUAAAGCCCAGAAUUAAGCAACUGCAAUGCUGACAAUGCUCAGCACUGAUUACUCUCUAGUAUCCCAGUGAAGACCAUGUCUUUUACCCAUGCAGCCCACUCACCUCACUUUACCAUCCUUUCUCUAUGUCUAGUAUAAGAAGAAGAAGAACAUGCCAUGGCAGAAUAUGUAAAUUUAAGUGAAGAACCUGCUUUGAUUGAAGUCAAAAAUCAGAAACUCCUCAAAGCACAGCAGACAAAAAACCAGUACAAGAAAACCGCACUACAAACUAAAGCUGACAGCUGGCAGAACAAAACAUUGCAUAGAAAGUUCCUUGACAAAAUUGAAGGAAAAGCUGAUAAGGAGAAGACCUGGCUAUGGCUCACCAAUGGGACCCUGAAGAAGGAGACAGAGGCCUGAUCCUUGCAGCCCAGGAGCAAGACAUCAGGACAAAUGCAAUUAAGGCCAAGAUCAAAAAAUCAGCUGAUGACCCAAAAUGCAGACUGUGCAAUGAAGCUGAUGAAACCAUUGAUUGAAACCUCAGCUGCUGUAAGAAAAUCGCACAGACAGGCUACAAACAGAGGCACAACUAUGU
ensembl:lncRNA